rnacentral:lncRNA from 1 species
AUGAGUCUUGAGGAAGAGAGGAGCAGGUCAAGAGCCGCAUUCCUUUCAGCAGAGGAAACAGAAUGGCCAAGCCAUGGACUCUGCACCUGGGGAAGAAGGCGAACGCGGAGGAGAGAAGAGGAAGCUCUUUUUCCCUUCAGGAACCGGAUCUGCCUCUCCUCCAGCCUCACUGACUCUGAAGUGAAAUUACGGUGCUCACCCCCUCAGCCUUCCUCACCACAAAACACCACCUUCCAACAGAAAGAAUCGCUGUCACGGGGUGGAGGAUAAAAAGGAUGAAGAAUGUUGCUAAGAGAAAGCCGCAAGGCUCCUGUAUGGUGUUUCUGGGAUGACACAAGAGGCUCUAACAAGACACCUUUUAUCAGCCUGAAGAAGAGGGGGCAUUUAUCAUGACAGACUAAUUACUCACUUUGAGUUAGUGUUAUAUCUGUGUAUGUACCCAAUGUGGCUAUAUAGUAACGAGAGGUUUUUAAACAAAUAAUCCAUACCUUACAUGUCCACAUAAAUGCUCCACAGUAGUUAGUCACCUUAAAUUUAAAUGCUGAUUUCGGUGUGUCCGACCGCCCCCCUACCUCCUCAUUGCUCACAGCAUUUCAGGUACAUCCCUUUUGAAAUUACCUUCACAGCUUGCAAUAUAUUCUUUUGAAUAUCCUUAAUGGUGACAAUGGUUCACCAGUUACAGUGUCAUAUUUUUGGUUUUGUUUUAAGUCAAAAAUCAUUUUGAGCUAAAUCCAUGAUGAAGGAUUAAAUUGGGUAAAAAUAAUUGAAAAUGCCAACUAAAUGCCAGUCACUAAGCUAAGUGUAUUUUAUAAAUCAUCUCACCUAAUUUAAUUCCCACCAGAAACCUAUAGAGUGGAUCUUAGUGUCCCAUUUAAUGCUUCUUUAAUAAUAAUAAAAUAUGUACAUAUUCAUUGAAAAAAGUUUGG